rnacentral:rRNA from 1 species
UACGAAGGGGGCUAGCGUUGCUCGGAAUCACUGGGCGUAAAGGGUGCGUAGGCGGGGUCUUUUUAAGUCAGGGGUGAAAAUCCUGGAGCUCAACUCCAGAACUGCCUUUGAUACUGAGGAUCUUAGUUCGGGAGAGGUGAGUGGAACUGCGAGUGUAGAGGUGAAAUUCGUAGAUAUCGGGGAGGAACAUCAGUGGCGAAAGGCGGCUUCCUGGACCGACACU